GGGUUGUGAGGUUAAGCGACUAAGCGUACACGGUGGAUGCCCUGGCAGUCAGAGGCGAUGAAGGACGUGCUAAUCUGCGAUAAGCGUCGGUGAGGUGAUAUGAACCGUUAUAACCGGCGAUUUCCGAAUGGGGAAACCCAGUGUGUUUCGACACACUAUCAUUAACUGAAUCCAUAGGUUAAUGAGGCGAACCGGGGGAACUGAAACAUCUAAGUACCCCGAGGAAAAGAAAUCAACCGAGAUUCCCCCAGUAGCGGCGAGCGAACGGGGAGGAGCCCAGAGCCUGAAUCAGUGUGUGUGUUAGUGGAAGCGUCUGGAAAGGCGCGCGAUACAGGGUGACAGCCCCGUACACAAAAAUGCACAUAUUGUGAGCUCGAUGAGUAGGGCGGGACACGUGGUAUCCUGUCUGAAUAUGGGGGGACCAUCCUCCAAGGCUAAAUACUCCUGACUGACCGAUAGUGAACCAGUACCGUGAGGGAAAGGCGAAAAGAACCCCGGCGAGGGGAGUGAAAAAGAACCUGAAACCGUGUACGUACAAGCAGUGGGAGCCUCUUAAUGGGGUGACUGCGUACCUUUUGUAUAAUGGGUCAGCGACUUAUAUUCUGUAGCAAGGUUAACCGAAUAGGGGAGCCGAAGGGAAACCGAGUCUUAACUGGGCGUUAAGUUGCAGGGUAUAGACCCGAAACCCGGUGAUCUAGCCAUGGGCAGGUUGAAGGUUGGGUAACACUAACUGGAGGACCGAACCGACUAAUGUUGAAAAAUUAGCGGAUGACUUGUGGCUGGGGGUGAAAGGCCAAUCAAACCGGGAGAUAGCUGGUUCUCCCCGAAAGCUAUUUAGGUAGCGCCUCGUGAAUUCAUCUCCGGGGGUAGAGCACUGUUUCGGCAAGGGGGUCAUCCCGACUUACCAACCCGAUGCAAACUGCGAAUACCGGAGAAUGUUAUCACGGGAGACACACGGCGGGUGCUAACGUCCGUCGUGAAGAGGGAAACAACCCAGACCGCCAGCUAAGGUCCCAAAGUCAUGGUUAAGUGGGAAACGAUGUGGGAAGGCCCAGACAGCCAGGAUGUUGGCUUAGAAGCAGCCAUCAUUUAAAGAAAGCGUAAUAGCUCACUGGUCGAGUCGGCCUGCGCGGAAGAUGUAACGGGGCUAAACCAUGCACCGAAGCUGCGGCAGCGACGCUUAUGCGUUGUUGGGUAGGGGAGCGUUCUGUAAGCCUGUGAAGGUGUGCUGUGAGGCAUGCUGGAGGUAUCAGAAGUGCGAAUGCUGACAUAAGUAACGAUAAAGCGGGUGAAAAGCCCGCUCGCCGGAAGACCAAGGGUUCCUGUCCAACGUUAAUCGGGGCAGGGUGAGUCGACCCCUAAGGCGAGGCCGAAAGGCGUAGUCGAUGGGAAACAGGUUAAUAUUCCUGUACUUGGUGUUACUGCGAAGGGGGGACGGAGAAGGCUAUGUUGGCCGGGCGACGGUUGUCCCGGUUUAAGCGUGUAGGCUG
rnacentral:rRNA from 1 species